GCCUAGGUGGCUCAGUGGUUGAGCAUCUGCCUUCCACUCAGGUCAUGAUCCCAGAGUCCUGGGAUCGAGUCCCACAUUAGGCU
rnacentral:tRNA from 1 species